rnacentral:rRNA from 1 species
UACGUAGGGGGCAAGCGUUGUCCGGAUUUAUUGGGCGUAAAGAGCGUGUAGGCGGCCCCUUAAGUCCUGCGUGAAAUCUUGCGGCUCAACCGCAAGCGGUCGUGGGAAACUGGGUGGCUAGAGUGCGGGAGAGGAGAGUGGAAUUCCUGGUGUAGCGGUGGAAUGCGCAGAUAUCAGGAAGAACACCCGUGGCGAAGGCGGCUCUCUGGAACGCAACUGACGCUGAGACGCGAAAGCGUGGGGAGCAAACAGG